rnacentral:rRNA from 1 species
CGCGUAGGCGGUCUUAUAAGCCAUAUGUGAAAGCCCACGGCUCAACCGUGGAAGUGCAUGUGGAACUGUGAGACUUGAGUAUGGGAGAGGAAAGUGGAAUUCCCGGUGUAGAGGUGAAAUUCGUAGAUAUCGGGAGGAAUACCGGUGGCGAAGGCGACUUUCUGGACCAAUACUGACGCUGAGGCGCGAAAGCGUGGGUAGCAAACAGGAUUAGAUACCCUGGUAGUCCACAGCUGUAAACGAUGAUAACUAGGUAUAGGGGGUGUUGACCCCUUCUGUGCCGUAGCUAACGCAUUAAGUUAUCCGCCUGGGGAGUACGGUCGCAAGAUUAAA